GUAGCACUCCCCAUCACCGACAACACAGCCCACGGUCAUGAUGAAGGGGUGGCCUUGGGGAAGAGAGGGAGGAUGAGGAAUACUCUUUGCAGGUGUGUGGUGUUUCUCACCAGGGUUGUCGACCCCAGUCUGGAUGACGUCGUCCAGGGUGAAGCCACUGGGGGUGGACUUGCCCCUCAGCUUCUCGUAGAUCUCCUUGGUCAACGCCUGCAGCAGAAGGCACACGGUGUCGGAAAACCAUGUUGGUCUGAACACUCGGACAUGCCGGGAAAUGGACAAAGCUGCUGUGUGUGCAGAUAAAGCGCAUGCUGGCUUGUGACACAUCCAGUUUCCCUAAACCACCAAUGAAAUCGUCAUGGCUGCAGAUUCAUACUGGUAAUGCUCAGUGCUCUGUUCUGGGCCUGCUGCCACUCUCCACCUACACCCAUGUAAAUCUGGGAUGUGUAUGCUGAUGACAACCAACUCUACAUCCCAAAUGAUCACUCCCAGCUGUAAACAUGCAGAUGUGCCUGUGCAGUCUAAUGCUGAAUAUUCCUGAGCCUGUCUCCAGUUCUAUAGCUUGAAUGCAACUGUGGACCAGAUCCAGUAGCCCAGUUUAGACUGUCACUGUAUCCACCAGCACUCCCCGUACACCACUGACCCCCCCAACCUCCACCACAGAGCCAAACAGCCCCAGAACCCUGCAGCUGCCCCAGAGAAACUGGCAUCAAGGACGAUUAUGCAACCAGGAACACCGUGUGAAUAAUUUAUAAUGACUGUUGUGUGACUCAUGAGUGGAACGAACAGAACAUCGUGGCAUUUCUGGACCCGCUGCACAUUAAAGGACAUGAUAUUGAACAAAACAUGUUUUUUGUGUUUGUUUUGUGAUGUCUGUGUGAAGCUGUCGUAGUUCAGCAGCAGGUUUUUCACAGCCUGAACUCUGUUAGAGGCACAAAUGAGACUGUGGAGUUGGUACA